GGUUAAUCGUAUUUUUAAAGUAACUUUAGGUAACGAUUCCUAGUUCACGAGUUCGUGAAUCUUUUUACUGACUCAAAUAAACGAACCGGUUCAAAAGAGCCAUUUGUUCACGAAUCGCACAUCACGGAUCGUGCUGUGUUGCUGUUGCUUGCGUGCAAAUUUGUCGUGCGGAUUUUCUGUCGAAAGUUUUAUGCUUUCUCGAUUUUAAACGAUCGUUGCAAACUUUUCCUUUGAACAUUUUAGUUGUUGCUUUGAAGCUUGCGUAUGACAACAGUUCUGACUGAAUGACAAAAGGCUCAUCUGACUCAUCUAUUCGGAGACAAAGUAUGUAGGUCUCCUUCAAUGAAACAUUAAUCGGAAGCUCCUGGAAGCCUCCCGAACUCUGAGCUUGACUGUAUAAAUCACUUUCUACGUUUGUUGAAUGAUAAACAGAAGCUCAGACAUUCUGCUUUCUCCUUUCACAGAAAAAGAAGGCCUGGAUCGACGUGGGGGUGAAUAAAUGAUGCCAAAACUGUCAUUUUUCAGCGAAUUAUCACGUCUUUCAAAGCAAACGUGUUGAAAACAUUGCUGGUUCUCCUCAUUGAGCAAUGUAAGCACACAUCAGUUGUCAGACAAAUCAUUCUCUCCUUUUGUGUGUCACUGUCACAGCAGCUAGCUCAGUUGAUCUUCAAGACAGUUACUAUGAAUAUAACAGCUACUGCGGCGAAGAGAGGCAAGAAGACCAGAAAAUCCGGUUUGCAAAAGUGUGGAGUCCCUCCCAGUGCAUCUUUCACAGACCAAUCCGAGAGGGCAAGAGGAGGAGAGGAAGAUGGAUGUAGACAGGCGAUGUUGGCGUUGGGGGCGAGUGUCCGUAGGGCCGGGCAUCAUGGGAGCCCGAGGGCAGCAGCGAGCAGUGCUGGGUGUUUGGGGCUUCUGGAGGUGGAGAAAGCGACCUCCAGGUCUCAUCUGAAGAGCAUUGCAGAGGGCUUUCGGGAUCUCAUCUGACACUCUGCAGGCUUCUAAAGGCUGAUACACACAAACGGUCACAUCUUGUAGCUCUCGCACACGGUACAUGCUUACACAUUGUCAUACACGUGGACAAGUGCAUAUAUCAGCUGCACAAGAUCCUCAUUAUUAAAUAAAACGUGACACAGAGCAUGUAUUUAUUUCCCAUGUAUGUACUGUAUGUCUGUAGGCUCAAGCCCUGUGGCGUAGCUGAUCUUUACACCAAUGAAAUGACACAAUGCAUUCCUAUUAAACCCAAUAAGUAUGAAAAUAUGAAAAAUGAUGCUCAUGUUCAGUGAUCGUGUGCUCAUAUUUGUGUAUGCUUGUGCUUAGUUAAUAUGUUGUCAGUUUAUAGAGAGCACAGUGGCUGAUAUAAUGCAGAUAAAUAUUUUGAAAACAAUUUAAUGAUAGACAACGAUAUGUAAAAUAUUUGUAAAAUACUCCAA
rnacentral:lncRNA from 1 species